rnacentral:rRNA from 1 species
AGACAGCAGUAGCCGCGGUAAUACGGAGGGUGCAAGCGUUAAUCGGAAUUACUGGGCGUAAAGCGCACGCAGGCGGUCUGACAAGUCAGAUGUGAAAUCCCCGGGCUUAACCUGGGAACUGCAUUUGAAACUGUCAGGCUGGAGUCUUGUAGAGGGGGGUGGAAUUCCAGGUGUAGCGGUGAAAUGCGUAGAGAUCUGGAGGAAUACCGGUGGCGAAGGCGGCCCCCUGGACAAAGACUGACGCUCAGGUGCGAAAGCGUGGGGAGCAAACAGGAUUAGAUACCCGGGUAGUCCCUGUCUCUUAUAC